AGCCCCAGUAAACGGCGGCCGUAACUAUAACGGUCCUAAGGUAGCGAAAUUCCUUGUCGGGUAAGUUCCGACCUGCACGAAUGGCAUAAUGAUGGCGGCGCUGUCUCCAGCAGAGGCUCAGUGAAAUCGAAAUCGCUGUGAAGAUGCAGUGUACCCGCGGCUAGACGGAAAGACCCCGUGAACCUUUACUGCAGCUUGACACUGAACUUUGACCUUACUUGUGUAGGAUAGGUGGGAGGCUUUGAAGCUGGAACGCUAGUUCCAGUGGAGCCGUCCUUGAAAUACCACCCUGGUAAUGUUGAGGUUCUAACUCUGUCCCGUGAUCCGGGACGAGGACCGUGUCUGGUGGGUAGUUUGACUGGGGCGGUCUCCUCCUAAAGAGUAACGGAGGAGUACGAAGGUGCGCUCAGCGUGGUCGGAAAUCACGCGUAGAGUAUAAAGGCAAAAGCGCGCUUAACUGCGAGACCCACAAGUCGAGCAGGUACGAAAGUAGGUCUUAGUGAUCCGGUGGUUCUGUAUGGAAGGGCCAUCGCUCAACGGAUAAAAGGUACUCUGGGGAUAACAGGCUGAUACCGCCCAAGAGUUCAUAUCGACGGCGGUGUUUGGCACCUCGAUGUCGGCUCAUCUCAUCCUGGGGCUGAAGCAGGUCCCAAGGGUAUGGCUGUUCGCCAUUUAAAGAGGUACGCGAGCUGGGUUUAGAACGUCGUGAGACAGUUCGGUCCCUAUCUACCGUGGGCGCUGGAAAUUUGAGAGGAUCUGCUCCUAGUACGAGAGGACCAGAGUGGACGAACCUCUGGUGUACCGGUUGUGACGCCAGUCGCAUCGCCGGGUAGCUAUGUUCGGAAGGGAUAACCGCUGAAAGCAUCUAAGCGGGAAGCCUACCUCAAGAUAAGAUUUCCCUAGGACUUUAUGUCCUCUAAAGAGCCGUUCGAGACUAGGACGUUGAUAGGUUGGAUGUGGAAGCAUAGUGAUAUGUGAAGCUGACCAAUACUAAUUGCUCGUGAGGCUUGACUAU
rnacentral:rRNA from 1 species